CAUAUACCUAAAAGCACGACAUGAAAUGUAACAUAACAAAUUAAUAAUCUACACGAACUGAGUGAUGUACUCAUCCACGGUGGUGUAUUUGACAUCAGGAUAGAGCUGCGAAGCCUCAACCCCGACGGCCGGAUCGAUCUCAAAAUAGGUCUGAUCACCCUUCACGAAUAUGCAGUGGUUGAUCGACAAUAUCACAUUCACCGGCAUCGGCGACUCUUCAAUCUGCUUCAGAAGCUCAUCCUCUGCCACGUAUAUCUUCUCGAGGGUGUUGCCGAUCUUCUUCUCCCAGCAGGCAACCAACUCAUUGAAUGAAUAUAUGUUGUGAGGAGGCUUAAUGUAGAGGAUCUUGUUCAAUGUUCUGGGAUCAACCGAAGCUUUCACGGUGUAUGCACCAAUGUCAUGUUCCUCGUUGAACACAGCUGCAACAUAUUAAUCAUUAAUAACUCAAAUCACUAAGUAAUUAGUCAUCAUCAUCAUAUACAUACCUUUAACAUUUCCAUCUCCGGGGAUAACAAUUUUGUCUCUGGGAGGAGCAGUGGCGCCCAGCUGCAGGAAAUUGGAGAGGGCGUAGCCAGCAAACAAGUUGCAGACGAUGUAGGUGUAAGGAAUGCCCUCUGCCUCUAUUGCUCUGCGGAGUUGUACUUAGUGAAUUUUGGUUUAUGGGAUCCACAGCACGGCAACGAUCCAGAUCGUUUCCGAAUUCUGAAGGUAAGAACCUCUGCAAUAAUUUAAAAUUUUCAAGAUUUACGAAUAUAUAUGCACCAUCUUCACCAACACGCAAGAGCAGGGUGGUAAAAUUAGAGCUAGCUACCUUCACAUUUCCAGCCUCCUUAAUAGCAGCAAUAAUCUUAUAUUGAUCAGCAAUCUGCAUGAAGCCCACGGUUGAUAUAACCACAUCCACUUGCUUUAUAGCCUUCACCAAGCUCUCGUGAUCAUUCAGAUCUCCCUGCACAAAUUAAAUUUCUCACAAAAUCAUCACCUUUUCUUUCACACACAAAAACAAUACACACACACACAGAUGCAUACAGUUAGGAAGGUGACACCAGAUUUCUUGAAGGUUUCGACGAGCUCGGAUUUGGCUGGAUCAGAGAGGGAUGCCUCUCUCAUCAAAGCGAAAGUGGGAUGCCCAGAUUUAGCGCUGGCCUCAACUACGAAUUUGCCGAUGUAUCCUGUUCCACCGAUGAUCAAGAUCUUCUCUCCCAUUUUUCUAUCUUUAUGUGAAACUUUUUUUUNCUUCUUCUUGAAAACUCUGCUAUGACUUACAAUUGCUGAGUUUGAUGAUGAAUUAGUGUGAGAUGGGUUCACAUAUAAAUAACUAAUUAGCAUCCACCCACUAUCCAUUUUUAGCAUUAUAAAAAUUCUCCAGUCAAAGCAGACGAUAAUGAUGAAAUAAUAUUUGUUUAGAGGUUUUGUCGUUGGAUUGACCCAAAAUUUGCGGUCUAGUGUGUGUGUGUGUGUGUUUGGCUGAGUUCAUACUUCGUACUAGAGAUGUCGGCAGGCGGAACUGGAAAAAGGUACGUGAAUGGGAGGACUUCUAACUGAUUUUCAAAUUUACUAACUAAUUAUUGGAAAAAAAAAAUCAAAAAUAUAAUAAAUCUCACAUGAAUUGAUAGCCUUUUUUUUUGGAGGUCCUCACAGUUUUCUUUGUUAUAGUGGUGUUUCAUUAAUUAUUGAAUUUAUUAUAAUGUAAUAAACUAUACUUCAUUCAUGAUUUUAAGUUUUUUCAGUAAACUACAUCGGUGUAAUUUGCAAAAAUAGAUCAACUUUAUUCGAGCUUGCAAAAAAUAGGUUAAUUAUUUAAAAUUUUGACGCUCGUCCAUCACAUUUGGGCCUUAUCGAGUUAUUUUGCACUCAAAAUGAGUCCAAAUAUAAUCCACGAACGUGGAAAUUUAAAAUAAUAGGUUGUUUAUCAAUCACCCUAAAACAAUGGUGAAAGAUUUAAACUAUUCAAUUUAUCUAUGAAAAUUAUAAUGUGAUUUGAUGGGUGCAUAUUUUAAUAAAUGACUGAGAGGAGGAAGAGAUCCUAAUUAUUGGCCUAUUUUUACAUAAGACAAUAAUUUUUGGUGGAUGGAUGAGAUACUAAUUAUUAAUUAUAAAUUACCCAGAAAAAAGUUAAUGAUCAUUACAUUAAAAUAUAGCAUAAAAAAUAAAAAAGUAUACAUCAAAAAAAGAGUCAGAAGUUCCUAAAUACUUUAAUGCACUCUAGCCUAGAAAUCCUGGUUAUUUAGUUUCAUGCCGUCGGUAUUGGAUGCUUUACUUUACCAUAUUGUUCCUCUUCCUCCCUACUUUUUUCUAUUUCAAAAUCUUCGUUGUUAUUUUAAUUGGUAUUCAAAACUUUUAAAAUUAGUUCUCAUCUCUCUAGAUCCUUCCUGGAAUUGAUUUUGACUUCUAAACUUCCACCUAUUUUAAAUUAAAUAAUGUGAUUUGAGUGUUAUACGAAUAGAGUAGCUGGGUGUAUCUCCAAAAAAUCAGUAUUUUGGCACCUCAAAGUUGAAUCGUCUCAAAAAGAAAAAACUCCAUUCUCAAACAGAAAGAAAGUUGAAUAGUACUAUUACGUUUAUUUGACUUUCUAGAAUACUGGAUUAUAACAUAAAAGAUUAAUUAUAGUUUAUAUCCUGAAUUUUAAAAUUAUUUAUAAAAAUAGUUAGAAUUUUAAAAUAUGCAGAAAAAUAAACAAAUUUUAGAGUUAUUUGUAGAAAAUGAAUCAAUUUCUAAAAAAAUAACCUAACUAUUUUGUGAGAUCAUGAAAGAUUGCUAUAUACUCCGCAUUACAAAAUCUGGCGAAUGAAUGAUGAAUCACUUCGUUGGAAUUUUAGAUGGAUCCUUAAGUAGCCUAAGCAUCAAAAGUCCAUGUAUAAUCCCCCUAAGAAUUCGGCAAGGUGAUUCAUCAUUAUAUGGCCGGAUUCUGUGAUGCGGGAUAUAAAUCCAACUUUUUUCAAAGUUGGGAGUUAGUAAGUAAAAACGUCAGUAGAUAAUAUUUUUUUGAAAAACAAUAAAAGGUAGAGGCACAAUCUAUAAUUUACCAAGAAUAACCGGAUGCCACACAUGCACAAAAGCUACAAGAGAACGUGUCCAUGUGAACGAACAAGAAAAAUGAACAUUUCUUGCUUACAUGCUACUCCUUCUGUACUUCAAGGAAACCACGGAAGCCCCGGUUGAUGGCAUUGUUUUGAUCCUGUAAUCGGCACAAUUGGACCAAGGAAAAUUCUCCAUAAGUCGAGUAUAAUGGUAACUAGCAUCGCAGCACCUAAAGCAUCAAUAGCCACUCUGGGCAAGUCCCAGGCAUCAUCACUAAGUUUCUCGUCAAUCCUGCUCAUUGCAAAUAAUGCCAAUCAAUGUAAGCAGAGCUACAAGAGAUUCCGAUUGAAUUGAAGUUUUAUUAUAGACACUUGCUAUACUUAUUCACCUAAUCUUUAGGUGUUUGAGUUUGCACUGAACAAUAAUGUUAAGUCUUCCAGUCAUAAUCACUAAUUAUAAUUAACAAAUUUCAGCAGUUAGCCCAUCAUAUCUGUACAUUUUAGAUUUCGAUCCUUGAGUCAAGUGUUUCGCCUUUUUCCCUCCUAUUUUAGUCGUCCAGCAACCGAUAUUUGUGUAGGCUUUGGAAAUUUACUCCUAAUCAACUAAACACACACAUACCACACAAUAGCUUCUCAAGUACCCAAAGAAAUAUUUAUUUUCAUUAAUUAAAAGAUGGAAGGCGAAAUUCAAUGAGAGACAAGCAAGGCCAACUUAAUUAGAGACGGACCCAUCAGCACUGAAAAUUAUCACACACACAGACAGAGAAGAACAAAUAUUUACCUCAAAAACAUAGGGAAACUGACGAAGAAAUAAAUUGCAUAAAACAAGCAGCCAACUUUGUACAUGGAAGCCCGGUCUACAAAUUCGUAAUAGGGAAACUGCACAUGAUCAAUGCGAAAGAUUAAUAAAGAAUAUUAAUAUGCACAAGGCAUGUUAAUAAAAACAUUGAAACUGCAUAAAAGAUAAGCCCUAAGAGAUGAGUGUGUGUGUGUGUGUGUCUUUAUAGCCACUCCUUUACUUACAUUGGAAAUGGCUAUAGUCUCCAGAUAUGCUACAAAAUAUGAAAGAACUAAAAUCCAGGCAGCCUUAAAGAGCCACUGUGUUUUCUCUGGCAAGUGAGCAAUAGAAUGCUGAAUUCUGCGAAGUGUCAUAUUUGAAGAAACAUGAUAAAACAAGAAGCACACAUGAGUGAGGAGGAAGGUUGUAUGUGGCACCUGCAAAAAGGUUUUUGUGGUCACUUUCAAUGAUUAUGAAUCAAUAAAAGACUAAAAUGGAUGUAAACAAGUAUGAUUUUUGGGCUCACAUUAUUCAUCCUCCACGACGGGAAUGUAUAUGAUGCACCCAAUACUGUAAAAAAGUAGUGGGUCCAAAAGUAAUUUCCGACGUAACUAAAGAGAAUGAUCCAGACACUAGCCUGGCAGAAAAGAAACUUUCUAGUUACAGCAAGAUACAUUGAAAAAACUCAUUAAACUCAUGAAAGAAACUUUACAUAGUUGUUAUUAAUUAAUAGAUGUAAACGAAGUCCUGGACAGGAAACAGCUGUGUCUGAAGCUAAAUAAUUAAAUAUAUGUGAUAUCUAUUGCCAUAGAAUCUACUCUUUGUAUUUGAUUAACAAAAGUAUAAACAAAAAGAAAAAUAAUUCUGUGUGUUAAUUUUAUGUGAAGACAUCAUCAUCAUUUCUUGUGAAGAAUAUUGAAUGAGGAAAAAGGUUAGCACACUACUUUCCAUGCUUAACUGAUUAGCCAGGACUUGUUUUGGCACAGUCUAAUAAACUAUAGCUCAAUCACAAUGUAAAGUAUUUAUCUGCAAUCUUCCAUCACCACCAUUUUAUUACGCAAGAGCAGUUAUUCUUAAGAAAGCUCCGUUAGGACAGUUUUGCUUGACAAAAGAUGGAAACAAGCAUCCGUGUGAUUUUCAUCUAACAAGGGCACUUGAUAGUCUUGUUUCCUAUGUCAUGCAAGUGAUCAAAGUUCCUAUUGCCUCGUCUCAUGUGGAAUUUCACAUAAACAAUUGAAAGCAUAUUGCAUAUAUGAUCACACAUAUAAAUGAAACAUGAUCAAUUAGUUUAGCAACAACACAUUUAUACUUACUUUUACCCAAUAACGAUCUUUCCAACACAAGCUACGAUCUGCCUGGAAAAGUUUAAGAGGAAGGAAUAAAUGUCACACAAAUUGAAAAUGUGGAUGGAAAAGAUGUUAUGAUUUCUAAACUUACCGCUAGAAUAUAUAUUGCAAGUUAACAUUAACAAUUAAGUUUUUGAUCAUGACUUUUCAUUUGCAUCAUCCCAGGGAAAGAAAGGCAUGGCUCAUAAUAGAAAGAAAGACAGUCUGAGAUUUAGAAUUACAAAUAUGGUCAGCAGACCAACCAAUUUGACCUGAUAAAGCAUCAUACGCAAUUACAUCAUCAUAGUUUAUCACCAGCUUCUCUACUAAAAUGAGUUUAUUCACCACAUGACAACAAACCUCAAACUUACCUUUCCAACAAAAAUCAUCGGUAUUAUGAAAGCAGGCAAUGCUGAAACAAGUCCCAGAAACAGGUACUCCCACUCUGUGAAAUUCUAGCAAAAGAAUUAUGAAAUUUUUAAGUAGACACUUAUUAUAUGAUAAAUCAUGGAUUCAGACAUAAUUGUCAUUGUACAUAUAAAAUGGAAGAGAGAAUUAGUUGACCACAUAUUUUAAGCUUAAGCCACGCAACCAUGAAUAGCAGAUGACAAAUUUUGUCACCAUCCUGGGAAAGAGAUGGACAGUACUUGGCAAUAACUUCCAAAUACAACUGACUCUAUUCCUACUUUUCAAUAAAGUCUAAAACAGAAUCAAAAUAAAAUUGAAAAUUAGCCAACUGUGUAAAGGAAAUUGUAAUGUCAGUCAGAGUAGCAAAUGCAACUUCAAGUUUUUGCAAAAUGAAGUGGUGUAAUCGAUGAUGUCUUUAAGAUUUUAUGCAAAACAACACAUAAUCAUAAACAAACUUAGUCCAAAAUAGUCCUUAUUCCUAAAUAUCAACAUAGAGAAGACAUGUUUCAUAUCUCAAUAUCUCAUAAUUAUCCAAAGGAAGAUUUCCAUAAGAUGGUGAGGCAGACACGCAAACAAUGUACAGUUGCUUGUUUUCUGUAAACUGCCAACUGAAAUAAUGAAUAGCAUUCCUACUAGAAUAACUUUCAAAUAUGUUCUACAAACGUAAAAGCAGGUAAUAAUGUAAUAUACAAGUAUACACUAGUAGGCAAUGAGCUAGUACUGGAUUUCAAUCAAAGCUUGCCCUAAAUCCUUGAUUUCAGGCCAAUGCUGAAGUUAUACUUUUAAAUUUUCCAACAACUAGGACGUUCUAUCUUUCUGUUCAGGUUAUCACGAUUUUUAAUUAACAAGCAGAAACUGAAUAUUGUGAAGCAUGAAAACUCAACUCAUGCUUCGAUAUUCAUUACAUUUUUACAACAUUUAUAUGAAUAAGAAAAAUCAAAACCAUUUUCGCAAUCAACCUCAUGGGUAUACACAGAAUAAGAAAUUCCUCCUUUUUUUCCCCCUCUGACAGAACAUCACACUAUGGUGCAGACGACAAACUUGUUUACUAAAACAACCAGAAAAAGAAAGAACUUGCAUAUCAACAACAAAAGACCACGUGGGUAAGUAUGAGUGUGAAAUACCUCAUAGAGUUUGUAGGGAACGACAAUGCCAAGGCAGAGAGUGAGCCAGAAAGGUGUGUAAAUCAGAAAGAAUAGUUCACCCCAUCUUUUGCUGGGGUUUUGAGCUAACCAAAGAUUUGAACUCGAGCAACCCACCUCACCAGCUGCGCGUUUCACCCCAAAUAAACAGUUAAAAAAAAGUAGCAACAACAUACAUCCGCGACCCAAAUUUUUGAAGUUUCAGUGACAGUAGAAUUUUACCUCCCAUUUCUGUCUGCAAUUCUGGCUGCAGAUACAAGUGGCAUUCAAUAGUGAGUCUAAUUUGUUUUGAAAAUCAUAGUAGAAGUAGAAAUAAGACUGAAUCGACAGCAUUUGCGCAAGCUUGUGCUUCUAGCCGCUCCAUCCUAUCCCACAAUCGCUUUAUAUAUAUAUAUACAUAUUAUUCUAUUUUUGCCUUAAAUCAACAGAAGUGCAAUAUCUCUCUUCAAUUCAACCCAAAUAAAGGCAAUAGUUGAGCAUUAAUUGUCGAAGAAAACUUAAAGCAGAUUGAUUGGGGAAAAACAUGUCCAUAUCCAAGAUCGAGCAAAAAACCGAGAAAAGAGUGGGAAGAUUGAAAUCUUACACUUUGAAUGAUGGAUGGAUCCGGGCGAUGCAAAUCACUGCUACUGCUACUAUGCGCCGAUAAAUGACACUCCACUAAUAACCAUGCGCAUCUAUAGACUAUCCAUUUGUGACACUAGUCCAACCAAACACAACUCACUUUUUAAUAAAACUAGAAUAAUUCCCUCAAAAAAAAAUAAAACUAGAAUAAUCAUCAAUGCACGGCGAAGUCGAAAUUAAAUAAUAUAUUUAAAUAAAUAAAUAUAAAUAUUAGUAAAUAAAAAUAAAAUAUAAUAAUUAUUCAAUAAAAAACCGAAUUUAAAAACGUAAUUUUCAAUUAUGUAUAAAGCGUAAUGAUAAUUAUAGUUAUUAAAUUAUUUUAAAUUACCGAUAAUACAAAUUAAUAUUACACAUUAUUAUUAUAGAGAAAUUUCACAUAAUAAUAAUAAAUAAAUAUUUUCAUAGACAAACAUAAAUAAAAGGUUUAAAAAAAUUAACAAAGAGAAAUAAAAUAAAAUAUUUUAAAAUUUUAAUAACCUUCAUUUUAAAUUCAUUUUUUAUAAUUUUUAUAUUAUAUUAAAGAUCUUCUGACCAACUUAAACGUAAGAUGCAAAUUGAAUAUUUUAUAUUCCUGGAGAUGAGUGUGUGGAUCAUCUCUUGAAUAUCAACUGAACUUCGGUAAGAUCUGAAGAAGUGAGGGCUUCAGGUCAUACCGCCGAGGUGCAAACGGGUUUUCUGGUAAGGUAAUUUCGUUGGGCCUCAGGUUGAGAUUAGUUGGGUAUGCCAAUUGUUUGCGGGUCUGCGCCUGCUCGGCCUCUGCCAUAGCUUCGCGUCUCGCUAUCUGUGCUCCUUCGUGUAGUCGACGUUCAGUUCUAUCAAUAUCACUAUAUCAGAGUCAAAUACCAAUGCUCUUGCUGCUCGACGAGUUCCACGCAUACACCAGCAGCGAAAAAUGGAAUGAGGGGAAAACAAAAUUGUUGCGCGUCACUCCUCGGCAACGGCGCCAAUUUUGACACGCACCCGUCGUGUGGUACAAUCAAAAUACUUGUGUUUGUCCUAAACGGACAAAGCACUCUCCUAUGCUCACAACCAAAGAUCAAUCUUAGUAGCAAGUAUACGGUCGAAUCCCACAGGGAAUGAGAGACACUUUGUUCUUCAAAGACAAAUUGAAGUGUCACAAGUCUCAAUCUGUAUAACCUGCACAAAUAAGAUAAACGGAAAUCAAAUAUAACAAGAGGUAAAGUUUUCGGUUAGGUCAUAACUAUUGUCGGUAAUUACAUUGGUCAUAGGCAUACUGAUGAUCCAUCCAUGAUCCAUAUAAUCUCAAGGCGUGACCCAAAGACAUUGGGGCGUUUCAAGAGAUCAUACUUCACACUUAGGAUGGUUGAGUCCAUUGUAAUCACUUGGGGCAUUGAUAGGGUAGCUUUCAAAUUUAAGUUCUAGACCUACGAAACGACGUCGUUUUGGGGGUUGUAAUGUAACACCAAAACGACGCCGUACAUCGAAAAAACGUCCACGUCAACAAAAUUCGAUAGCCACGUCACCACCGAUCAAGGUAAUAGUCAACGCGAGUGCAAAUUGCGAUUAAAUGGAAAGGUGAUGUAUUCUGGAGCUAUUUUUGAAGGUCAUGUGCAAUAUGCAGAUUUGAAAAUAGUUCGUGUAUUCUCCGGCUAUUAACCCUAAUAAAUAUUCUCUUCGUUCCAACUAACUUGAUCAAUAUUCUUUUUGGGUUGUCCCAAUUAAGUUGAUCAAUUUUCUUAUAUGAAAUAAAUAUAAGUAAAGAAACAUUCAAUCACUUAUUCAUUUUAUUACUAAACACACUUAAAACACUAAUUUUUAAAAUUUAAUGCUGAAAAGAAAUUGAUCAAUUCACGAAGGGAGUAGAUGCUUUGAGAAAUCAAAUGAAAUAAAAGAUGUGAAUAAUAAAAAGAAUUUCGUAAGUUAUACAAUAAUUUUUAUAGUUUUAUACUAGAUAUAAAAAGAAUCUAUAAAAGAAAUCAAUUUCACUAAAUUUAUUCCUAUAAUUUUUCAUACUUUCUUCUUCAUCCAUCUCUUUAAAUUUCUUCUUCUUCCAAACCAAUAUUUUGUGAGAUCAUGAAUAAUGAUUUUUCAAAUUGGUCCAAUUAUAAAUAUUGCGGACCAAAUUAUGCUUCCCAAGUGUCCAAGUCUCAUCCCGAAAUUUUCAACUUCGAUCUUCUAAAUUCAAAUUUUCAACCUUAAAAUUCUAACAUCGAUUAUCAAAAUUUUCAAUUUUCAUCACCAACCUUAUCCUCCACAUUUAAUGAAAUUUCCAGGAGCUCCAUAUGGAUAUCAAUCUAAUUACUAUCAAGACUAUCAAUACUACCUUGCUCAACGAGUUCUAUCUUCUGACUCAUUAAGAAAAACCAGCAUAAACGGGGAUAGUUAAAUUAUUAAAGGGUUAAUGUGCAGAUCCACCCCUGAAGUAGAGAGUGCAACUAAACCUAGACGUUUAACGGCGUUAAGGUCGAAAAUUGGGGGAUAAACACUAUAGGGGCCUCUACUUCAGGGGUGAAUCUGCACCUUAACCCCCCUUCUCCUCCCCCUUCCCCCGUUUUUUUUUUUAAUUUCGGCAACCCACCUCUGGCAUCAGCUUAGCCGCUCUUGUACUUAUCGGCUCCGAAUUGCACCUUGUCAUCUCGCACAUGCCUAAUUUGUUGGUUGUCGACUGCCCACCGCCGACAUGCAGCAGCACCACCAGCUUCUUCGAUUCCCCCUCCCCUCCCCCGCACAGCAGCAUCUCCUCCAACACUUUAACCCUUUAAGCUUAUCUUAUGAUAUUAAUUGUGUAUAUAUCUAUCUAUAUAAUAUAUAUUUAAAAUUUAUUUUUAUUAUUAUUAUUAUUAUUAUAUCUUUUAUUUGUAUUGAUAAUAUUAUUUUUCUUUUUUCAAUGUAAAAUAGAAGACACAUUAUUUCACCGUUACUUAAUAUUGUGAUGAAGUUAGAGAUAAAAUUGAUUUUAAUGAUAUGAUAAUUAAUUUUCAUUCAUGUUGUACAUAUACAAUUAAAAUAAGUGUGUAUGUCAUUAUUUUACUAUUAAUAUGUUCUUUCGUGCUUGAUUAUUGUAUGCUUACUUAUUUUGAAUUUUUAUAAUACUCCCUCCGUCCCACGAAUCUUGACACGUAUUCCUUUUUGGGCCGUCUCACGAAUCUUGACAUAUUUCCAAAUAAGGUAAUAAUUAGUCAAAAAAUAAGGGGUCUUAAUUAAUUACACUCCCUCUCAUAUUUUAUCAUUUUAUUACAUUCUUUCUCCUACUUUAUCACUUUUAUACUUUAUUACCUACACACUUAAAACACUAAUCUACAACUUCUUAAUUCUCGUGCCGAAACCAAAUGUGUCAAGAUUCGUGGGACGGAGGGAGUAUUGUUUAUAGAUUAUGAUUUAAUUAUUUAUUUUUGAAUAAUUGUUAAAACUCUAGACAAUAAUUAUGAUUUUAUUUUUGAUUAAUUUAAUAUUUAUAAAUUUAUUUUGAAAGAGAAAAAAUAAUGGAUCCGGGUCAGGACCCGAGACCAUGAGGAUCUUAUGGAUCUGGACCUCAAUCUCAGUUUUUUGGAACCAAUGAAUCUGGACCGGAUCCGGACCUAAGUAAAACAAUACGGAUAUGAAUCUGGACCAAGCAGCAUCUGGUCCAAAUCUGGACCUGGUGGCAUUACUGCAUGUCGACGGUGGGCAGUCGACGACCAAUAAAUUGAGCGUGUGCGAGCUGAUAAGGUGCAACUUGGAACCGGUGACUACGGAGGCAGUUAAGCUGAUGCCGAAGGUGGGUUGCCAAAAUUGAAAAAUAAAAAUAAAAAAAGGAGUUAAGGUGCAGAUCCACCCCUGAAGUGGAGGGUGCAGUUAAACUCAGACGUUUAACGACGUUAGAGGUCUGAGUUUAAUUGCAUCUUUUUCUUGAACUAUUGGGGGAUGUUUGAUAUAGGGACCUCUACUUCAGGGAUGGAUCUGCACCUUAACCCAUUAUUAAAUUAAAAGUUUAUGUUGUGUGUUGUAUUCAAUAAUUUUUUUAAUGAAGUUGUCUUUUGUGUUGUGGGUUUAGUUCUAAAUAUUCAGUUAAUUAUUUGCUAAUUUUAUAUCUAAUAUUUAUAAAAUAAUUUAUUUAAUUUUAUACUUUCUCUGUCCCACUAAUCUUGUCAUAUUUUCCUUUUUGGGUUGUCCCAAUAAUAUUGUUUUGUCUCUAUUUUUUUUUGUAAUGAUUUACACUACAAACAAUAUGAUCCCACACAUUUACACAUUUUUACUAUACUAAUUUAACUUUUCUUAAUAACAGUGCCCAAAAGAAACGAGAGAAGCUUAUUGGGACGAAGGGAGUAUUGAUUUAAAAUAAUUGUUAAACUAUUUUUACUAAAUUAUAAAGAAUAAAUGUGAAAUUUAAAUAAAAUGUGAAUAAAUAUUGAAUGAGUUGAAAGUGGGUCCAUAAUGAUGUCAGCAAAAUCCUGAGUUUGAGGAGGUAUUGUUGAGGAUGAAAGUAGCGUUCAAGUAGAAAAAAAGAAAUAUUUCAACGCGAGUUUUAAUAAAAAAAAAUAUUGAAUGUAUUUAUAAUGGAGAAAUAGUCUCACAUUAAGAGUAUUAAUUAAUGUCAAUCUGAUUAGGCAUCUCCAAUUAUGUGUAAAGUAGUGUCCAAAUUAGAAAAAAAAAAUAUUUAUUUGAAUGACGUACGUAGUAAAAAUGAAAUAAAUACAUCAUUAUAGAUAAUAGACAAUUAAAGUAUAUUGAAAUUUAUUUGCUAAAAUUCAUAUUUUAUUAACGUAGAUGGCACUUAUCAUCAUAAGCCAACAAAACAUAACAAACGUGAAUCAACAGAAGAAACCAGUUAUUCUCUCCAUGGAGAAGCUAACCUACACGAACUGAGUGAUGUACUCAUCCACGGUGGUGUAUUUGACAUCAGGAUAGAGCUGGGAAGCCUCAACCCCGACGGCCGGAUCGAUCUCAAAAUAGGUCUGAUCACCCUUCACGAAUAUGCAGUGGUUGAUCGACAAUAUCACAUUCACCGGCAUCGGCGACUCUUCAAUCUGCUUCAGAAGCUCAUCCUCUGCCACGUAUAUCUUCUCGAGGGUGUUGCCGAUCUUCUUCUCCCAGCAGGCAACCAACUCAUUGAAUGAAUAUAUGUUGUGAGGAGGCUUAAUGUAGAGGAUCUUGUUCAAUGUUCUGGGAUCAACCGAAGCUUUCACGGUGUAUGCACCAAUGUCAUGUUCCUCGUUGAACACAGCUGCAACAUAUUAAUCAUUAAUAACUCAAAUCACUAAGUAAUUAAUAAUCAUCAUCAUAUACAUACCUUUAACAUUUCCAUCUCCGGGGAUAACAAUUUUGUCUCUGGGAGGAGCAGUGGCGCCCAGCUGCAGGAAAUUGGAGAGGGCGUAGCCAGCAAACAAGUUGCAGACGAUGUAGGUGUAAGGAAUGCCCUCUGCCUCUAUUGCUCUGCGGAGUUGUACCUUGAGUUGGAAAUUUUGGUUUAUGGGAUCCACAGCACGGCAACGAUCCAGAUCGUUUCCGAAUUCUGAAGGUAAGAACCUCUGCAACCAUUUAUGUUAUAUAUCUUCACCUACACAUAUUUUUAUAUAGCAAGAGCAUGCAGGGUGGUAAAAUUAGAGCUAGCUACCUUGACAUUUCCAGCCUCUUUAAUCGCAGCAAUAAUCUUAUAUUGAUCAGCAAUCUGCAUGAAGCCCACGGUUGAUAUAACCACAUCCACUUGCUUUAUAGCCUUCACCAAGCUCUCGUGAUCAUUCAGAUCUCCCUGCACAUACACAUAUACAUAUUAGUAUAUUAUCAUCACCUUUUCUGUCACACACAAAAACAGAGAGAGUUACAUACAAUUAGGAAGGUGACACCAGAAUUCUUGAAGGUUUCGACGAGCUCAGAUUUGGCUGGAUCAGAGAGGGAUGCCUCUCUCAUCAAAGCGAAAGUGGGAUGCCCAGAUUUAGCGCUGGCCUCAACUACGAAUUUGCCGAUGUAUCCUGUUCCACCGAUGAUCAAGAUCUUCUCUCCCAUUUUUUUUUUUUACUUUNUUCUUUUUCUAGAAAAUAUUGUUGAUAACUUGAUAGUAAAGGUUGAUUGUGAAGUUAAAAACAAGCUUGUAUAUAUAAGAAAGUCGGGUCUACCAAUAUUUAUAUUGCUGAAUGAUUAAUCCGACGAUUUCAUUUAUGGUUUGACGCCAAAAUUGGGGUGGGGUCGUUGUUUGUUUAGCUUACUACUAUUAAUUGCAUUGACCGACUUGUUUUGUUCAUUUAAUAUGGCCCAUACUCCCCUUUUUGUUCUUUUCUUUUUAUUUAUCAAAAUGAUUGAUAUCUUCGUUGCGCAUUCACUAAACGCAUCAAUUACUAGAUUGUUUAUGAGAGGAUUUUUUUUUUCUUCUACUAUUAUCCUUUUUGUAGUUGUGAUUCUCGAUCAUUAUUCGUCGUUUUUUAUAACUCUGGAGAGUUGAUUAACUUCUACCCAUUUUACAUCAAAAGAUUUCAUUUAUAGAUUUCUUUGUUAGAUAAAAUAUAUCACUAGGCUAGUUUAUAGUGAAUAAUUUUAUCUACUUAAAGCAGUAGUGUUCGGUACCUCAAAGCUGCCCUCUGAAACCUAUUAAAAAUUAAAAAUUAAAACUUAAAAAUUAAUGUUAGUCGGAGUAAUAGAUUAGUAGCAGUAGCAGUAGAAGUUUCUAAAUUCAGUAGCCGUAGAGAAUUAAAUGUAUGCCGUAUUCCAACUCAUAUUUGACUUUCUACAACUCCCUAAUCCCUAUUGCUAGGGGAGGCUAAUACAUAUUAGGAUACAGUACUUAUCUUAUUAUCCACAUCUUCAUCUUAAUUUAUUUAUUUUUAUAAAAAAUACUAUCACUUUUUAAUGAGGAACAUUAAAAUUUAAAGCUAAUUCAUGUUGUCAAAUUAUGAAUUAUUCAAUAUUUGUUGAGUUGCUACCAAUUGUAUAGCUAAAAGAUUUUUCAAUAUUGAUUUUGAAUUAGCUACAAGAUUUAUUGUAGUUGAUUUUGUUCGUGUUUAAUAGCUAUGAAAUACAAUUUGUUACACUCUUAAAUUUGGUGCAUGAUUUCUCAUUUUGGUGCUUUCAUGUGAGCUCAAAGCCGACUGCUAGUAGUUAUAUCACCAAUUUGGACUCGAUUUUUAAUAUUAAUCUGAUUUAUAAAACAGAGGAAGCUAGCUUUUAAAUUAUAUACAAUUAAAACUCUCCAUUCCUUUAGGCGAUCCAAACUUCCGUAGCAUAGAAACUUGACAACAAUUAAAAUUAAAGUCGAUAAAUUUAUAGCAGAAACCGUUAAGUUGUUCACGAAUUUGAGAUACAUGGUAGAUCCAUAAAUGUUUCAUAAACACACAUAAAAGUAUAUAACAUAAAUUUGAGGUUUCCCAUUAUUGAUGUAGUCGAGCAAUUUAGAGAAAUUGGUUGAGGUACUCAUCCACAGUAGUAUACUUGACGUCAGGAUAGAGCUGUGAAGCCUCAAAUCCAAAUGAUGGGUUGAUAUCAAAAUAUGUUUGAUCACUCUUCACGAAUACAGAAUGGUUGAUCGCCAGAAUUAUGUUUAUUGGCAUUGCUGACUCUGCAAAAUUAUAUUAUUAGUAGAAAUGGAAAAUUAUUAUACAUAUAUGUAUAUGUUGGUAGAUAUUUAUAUACCUGCAAUCUGUUUGAGAAGUUGGUCCUCGGGUACAUAGAUUUUCUGGAGGGUUUUGCCGAUUUUCUUCUCCCAUAAAGCAGCAAUCUCAUUGAAUGAGUAUAUGUUUUUGGGAGGCUUGAUGUAGAGGAUCUUGUUCAAGGUUCUUGGAUCAUCAACAGCUUUGAUGGUGUAUGUGCCAAUGUCACGUUCAUCGUU
rnacentral:lncRNA from 1 species